rnacentral:rRNA from 1 species
UACGGGGGGGGCAAGCGUUGUUCGGAAUUACUGGGCGUAAAGGGCUCGUAGGUGGCCAACUAAGUCAAACGUGAAAUCCCUCGGCUUAACCGGGGAACUGCGUUUGAUACUGGACGGCUUGAGUUUGGGAGAGGGAUGCGGAAUUCCAGGUGUAGCGGUGAAAUGCGUAGAUAUCUGGAGGAACACCGGUGGCGAAGGCGGCGUCCUGGACCAACACUGACACUGAGGAGCGAAAGCCAGGGGAGCAAACGGG